GCCCAGUGCGCGUGCUCGCCCGGCGGCCACCCUUUUUGUAUGUCAGCGCUCGGGGCCUCGCGCACUCCCCCGGGCCGGCUCAGUCGGGCGGCAGCAGGCGCAAGAGGCGGCGGCGGCUCUGCGAGUGGAGCAUCCGCAGCAAGGGGAGGGGGGGCGCAUCAGGGAACAGCCGAGUCCGGGCUGCCUCCUCUCCCCGUCAGAGGGGGCGGGGGCCGCGGCCGAGGGCAGGGGCGACCGUCACCCCCUCAUCCAGCGUCGCCGAGCGAAUCCUGCUCGCGGGGGGCGGGGGGAGUCUCCAGCGGGUCCCCUCCAGCAGCCUGGCCCCCGCGCCGCCCCCCAGCCCGGAGUGCGGGCUGGGCCGGGGGGCUCUUGGGGGGCGGUUGUUGUUUUCAGCCCGGGUACAGCGAGUGUGAAGACCAGGGGCGUGUGUGGCGGGGAGCUCAACUGCUUACCAGAUGGGGGAUGUUUGAGGGGAUUGAUUAGCUGCCCUAAUUAGCAUGAAUAAGUGGGGGGGUUGCCGUGGAUAGCUAUUGCGGGGGGGGAAUGGUCGGGAGCCUCCUUUUCUGUGGGUGGGUUAAUUAGUGGCCAGUUUUCUCGGGAUUAUCCCUCUUGUCUCGCCAUCCCCCCCUGGUUUCCACUGGUUUAGUUGGGUCCCAUAUGUAUAUUUUACACUGUCCCUGGCGGAGAAGGGAAGAAUUUUAAACCCUCCAUCCCCAACUUUCUAACCAUCACACACAAUCCUGCCCGGGAGGACUGAAGCAGCGGCCAGGUGUUGGUGAUUCCAGACUCAGACGGUUAGGGGUUCAGUUCUGAGGAAGCAGAGACUCGAGGGGCUUAUUGGAUUGAAUCUAUUUUGCGCAGGCUGCCACAGCUCUACAUCAGUAUCCUCACUUCUCUUCCCCACCCUCCUAUCCCCCGAGGGUGGGGAGGAGCUGGGAAUCACUUCUAAUAUCCCCCACUCUCUUCCUCAACACACCUUGGUCCCUGGGGGCACAAGCCAGGCAUCACCCAUUGUAGUAUCAGGAGAACAUAAUCCUCAUCGCUCCUUUCCUGGCCUUGGGGGCUCCAGCAGGACUCUGCUCCCUCCCUUCGAGUGCAGAUCAGAGAGGCCCUGAAAGGAGUUCAUCAGCACCCUCUUCUCAGGGGGCACCAAGGGUACCAGCAAGCCUUCACCUCACUGAGAGAGCCAGGACUGAAGCACCAGUUACUGGGGGCACCAAAAGAAGCACCCGUCCUUGACAUCCCUUCAUCUCUUACCCCUUGCUCCCCAAACCUCUGAGUUCCAUUAAAAGGAGAUCCCAGAGGUUACAAGACUAGUCAAACAAGAUGUGCAGCUCAGUUGCUCCCAGGCUGUGGUUCUUAACAGAUCGUCGUAUCAGGGAAGACUACCCUCAACAGGAGAUCCUGAGGGCGCUCAAGGCCAAGUGCUGUGAAGAGGAACUAGACUUUCGGGCCUUGGUGAUGGAUGAAGUGGUACUGACCAUUGAGCAUGGAAACCUGGGUCUCCGGGUGAAUGGGGAGCUCAUUACUGCCUAUCCACAGGUGGUGGUUGUACGUGUGCCAACACCUUGGGUCCAGAGCGACAGUGACAUCACGGUCCUUCGUCACUUGGAGAAGAUGGGCUGCCGGUUGAUGAAUCGGCCCCAAGCCAUCCUCAACUGCGUCAACAAGUUCUGGACCUUCCAGGAGCUGGCUGGUCAUGGUGUGCCUCUCCCAGACACCUUCUCCUAUGGUGGUCAUGAGAACUUUGCCAAAAUGAUUGAUGAGGCAGAGGUGCUGGAGUUUCCCAUGGUGGUGAAGAACACACGAGGUCACCGAGGCAAAGCUGUAUUCCUGGCACGAGAUAAGCACCAUUUGGCAGACCUGAGCCAUUUAAUUCGUCAUGAGGCCCCUUACCUGUUCCAGAAAUAUGUCAAGGAGUCCCAUGGCAAAGAUGUGCGUGUCAUCGUAGUAGGCGGCCGCGUGGUGGGGACCAUGCUGCGCUGCUCAACAGAUGGAAGGAUGCAGAGCAACUGCUCACUUGGCGGUGUAGGGAUGAUGUGCUCACUGAGUGAACAAGGCAAGCAGCUGGCAGUCCAGGUGUCAAACAUCCUGGGGAUGGACGUGUGUGGCAUCGACCUACUGAUGAAAGAUGAUGGCUCGUUCUACGUCUGCGAGGCCAAUGCAAAUGAGCCAAAAAAGUCAAACAAUCCAGAGAAAAACUUCCCUUCUCCCCUUUCUGAUGGCGAGAGUGAGAGCUUAUGAAAAGUCCUUGAGAAUGUUCCUUCCUAAACUUUUCUCCCCAGUAAUGCAAGCUGGUAAAACAGUAAACGCAGCAGUUUGGUGGCAUCCAAAACCGACCUGUUGGCAGGUAAAUUCACUCUUUCUGCUCUUUUUCUUUUCUUUUCUUUUUUUUCUUCAACCUUCACGUUUGCCUUUCUUCCUUCCCAUUUCCCCCCAUCCACACCCUAGUUUGAUGAAGCUUCUCAAAGGAUGUCUUCAGUAAUGAGGCUUAGAGAGCAAAUCCUACUUUCCUCCCCUCCCACUCCUUUGUACAAGCUAGAUUUUAAGAAAUAUUUUAAGGUUUCUCCCUUAAUGUGCUCAGGUGAGCCACUGUGAGGGUGGGUUAAAUAUCAUUGCUGUGUCAGAAUGAUUGGAGGGAUGAUGUCUAACUGCACAAAUCCGACCAUCCUCUGUGUGUAUCUCUACUUUUUCCUUCCAAUAUGCUAUUCUGGCUUAAGUUUUCACAGGGUUAUGGUGCUUCCCCAGGUGCACGGUGAGCACAAAGUUUAACAGCAUCAAUUAGGAGUUGAAAGGUAUGGAAAACUAGUACUAAAAAGGUUGCAAAAUUUUAACCCUAAUCCAGAUAUGGGGGACGUGGCAAAUGGGAGAAUAUCUCUGCUAGAUAGAACAACCUCUGGGCUGACUAUCUGUUUCAGGCAUUUCUAAUGAUCCCACUAACUAUAAUAUCCAAGCCCCAAUAAAUAAUUCACCCUUCUGUGGUACCUCCUAUCCACUGAUCUCAAAGCACUUUGCAGAUGUGGACAGUUUAGCCUCCCAAAUCCUUUGUGGGGUAGGAUAUUCCUUGUUCUACAGGUGGAGACAAAGAGGUGAAGUGGGAAUCGGGGGUUGUUUCUAAGCAGGGCGAGUAUGACACUUCAGGCUGGCUUACAAAAGUGCUCCCUCAUAUAAUUUAUUUCUAGGUAUGCCUGCCCUUCUUUUGAAGAUCUUUUGUAUAUGUGAAUAACUCUGAUCUUUGUAGGCAUCAAAAAAAUUCUACUUGUGACCUUCUCAGUUUGUUUUCCUAUAUGCUCUAGAAAAGAAGAGUGUUUGUGUAUUCAGCUCAUGUGAGCAGCAAUACUCAAAACAAGAUGGGGCGGGGGGGGGGGGGGGAGAUUUUACAUAGAGCCAAAUUUUGCUCUGUUAUGCUAAUCUGAAAUAUCAGUGAAAUGACAAGAUUUUCACAGGUAUAACAGAGUAUAGAAUUUGUGCUUUAAUUUUACAUGCAAGAUAAUUGUACAGACCUGUUAUACUCACAUUUCCAAUGCUUUUUCCUUUCAGACACACCCACUUCUCUCGUCUCACCACUGGGCAGGCCUAUUCCUUUAUUUGUGUAUAUUUUUGUGAAUCAGCUGCUGUAAGACACAGUGUAACACUUUUCAGGCUUUCAGGCAUGUGGCUGGGUGUCUUCUGUUUUGGGGAAAGAUCUGUGGAUUUGUAAUAUUCUUCUCCCUCCUGUCACCCUUAAGUUAACCAUAUCUGAACUUGCCUCUAGACUUUGCAGCUCCGACCCACAGCUAAUGCAUUUCUUCAAAGUUUUCUUGGUGAUAGAAAAUGUUAAGUCCUAUAGUGUUUAUAAACAGUCUUUGGUGGGAAGUGUAGAAGAGAAAUGCUGUUGCAGUCCAUUGAAGCUAAUGUCUCAAUCCUCUACUCUCCCACCCCUCCCUCAUUGCUGGAAUGGCUUUCAAAGCCUGAUAUUAAUCUUGCUUGUGUCCAGUGCUUUGCAAAGGGUGUUGGGUGAGGGGAGGAUGGAGGAGAAACUUGAAUAAGCCAUGGAACCUUAGACAAAGGAUCCCAAUUGUGUAAUUAUGUGAGUGCUGAACAAGAACUUCUUCUAUAUGCCCUUCUGCUGCAACAGAAUAAUAAAACUGGUAGGUGGCAGUAGCAGAAGAAGGAACUAAUGUGGCUGGGACCUGCGAAACCUACAAUUCAAGGAGAGAUGGAUUGCAAAAUGUUAACUGAAGUAAGGGGGACAGAGGAGAGAGGCAGAGUCCUUGAACUGUCACUUUGAAUGGAAUGUAAUGCUGGUGAAAGGUGCUGGAUCAGCAGCCUCAGAGACUGAAAUCCUCUAUCCACAGGACAGGUAACACAGGCAUCAGUGGUCAGACUUCUUCCUCAGGGCACACAGCCUCCACUGCACCUCACCCCCUGAGCUGGAGGGGCCUUCCUUAAGGUCAAGAGGGAAGUUUCGGUCUCCGUGGCCUAUUUUGGUUCUUGGCAUGUCUACCAAGACUUGUCAGUUAGUGGUGGUAGUUUUUGUGAUGCCUGCUUGAAUUUCUGAUUGUAUAUUCUCAUGAAGGAGACUGAUUUUCUUUGGUUUAUUUCUCUAGGCAUUGUGAAGCGGCAAGAGAUCUUCCUUUCCCCUUUAUGGGAACACUUUUCUCUCUCCAUUACCCUCUCGAUGAUGAAGGGAUGAGAGAACAGAACUGCAUAGGUGUGGGAAGACAGCCAGAGUUUGAGAUGAGAUGAUAGCAGCCACAAUGAUGCUGCCUUUGUUACAUGGAAAAACUAAAUUAAAAUGUUGUGAAUUGUAACUCACAGAAGUGUGAGGUUCUUUUCAGUAGCUGUUUCUUUGCAAACAUAUUGUUCUCUUCCCCUGUCUUGUGAUUAAUUUCUCGAAGCGUCAGCUGACAUCAGAAAUGUGCUGACCUCACAGCACUAGUGAAGACAGAAACCUGUAACUAACUCCAAGAUCUUUUAAAGAUACAGGAUGGUGAAUUUGUAUUUCCCCAGCACGUUUCAUUUUGAAGGAUGCCAAAAUAUUUAUGGAGUGGGCAUGGCAUAGAGUUGUGAUGAAUUUACUUUCCCAAAUGCUUUAGAAACCAAACAUCAGGUCUUCAGUUUUAUCAGAUCUCUACUAUAAAUGCAGAUAAUAAAACAAGUGACUUAAAAGAAACAAAACAAAAAAAAUGUUUAUUCUAGCAGAGUUUUAAAAGAAAAAUUAAUAAAACCACAAUACAAAAUAUAUUGUAAUGACCUACGGCAGAAUGUGUGUGCACCAGUCAGAACUGCUCAGCUGUGUGUCAUAGGUCAUGUAUUGCUGACACCAAAUAGAAAUUCUUUAAAUGGUUAGAUUAGAGACUCUGCUUUUGGAGUAGGAGGGUCUGAGUUUUACCCCAACUGCUGCUGUGAAGUUCCAAGCGGUCACAGUAAAAUACUUACAACAGUGAUGUCCUAGGUAGCCAUAUACUUACUCCAAUAUCUAUUUCAUGUGAUAGUUAGGAAUGUGUGUUAAAAAAGAACCUGAGAUGUAGAACAUGCAUAUUCUGAACAUUUCACCAUGGUAGGGAACUGCAAGGUAUUAGUAAAAUACAAUAUAUAAGAAGAAAAGUAAAUUUUGACUAAUGCUUAUUUUAUAAUUUGCCUUUGAAAAGUUUUAGGAGUGUGUGCUAUAAAGAUUGAAACAAAUUUACAAGAAAUCUAAACUGACACAAAGUCAAUGAACUCUUUCUUCCUGAUAGAAGCCAAGAACGUCAGUUUCACAUCCCCCUUUAAGAGCCAGGGCAAAGACUGCAGAAGGUUUCCCAAAGUGCUAAAGGAUUGACAAAUUUCAGCAUUGUACCCCUUUCCUGAGAACUUCUGGACAUGCAAAACUACAGCCAAAAUCAAGUGCCAUAGCUGACGGCAGCUGUCCUAGGAUGUUACGAGAGAAGGAGGCGUCUGUUCAGGACCUAAAGCACAAAAAGGGCUUUUUAGGUUAAAACUAACUACCUGCAUCCGAUCAGGUUGGAAGCUGGCACAGUUUAGGGAGCACCAAUGGAAUACAUUUCAUUCAAAAAGCACUACUAAGUAAGCAGGUAAAAUGCAGUGUCAAAGUAGUUAAAGUUUCAAAAUACAAUUCAGGCUGAGGACAAGAACUUAACAGGAUUCAAUAAAGGAUUAGGCCUUAUAUGAAUAAGAACAUAUACAGUUGUUUUAGAUAGGAUACAAAUAUCUAAAGGAUAUAAACUCUCAUUGUUCUGGGCAUAAGCAAUCCCUAACUGCCUGGGGUCAAGAAGAAAUUUUCCUUAGGGGCAUAUUAUUCCAUAAUAGUCCAUUGUGUGGGUUUUACUCCCUUGAAGCAUUUGGUACUAACUGCUAUCUGACGGUACACAGUCUGUGAUAGACCACUCAUCUGCUCUGGUAUGUCAGUUCAACUGUAGCCCUACAUAUGAAGCACCUGGCACUAGUUCAAUGGGGGGAUCACCAAGGCACACCAAACUGUGUUAUGAGGUCCAUGUCUUGAGAGGAAUUGUUACAAGCUCCCUAGUCAAGUAUAGACGGAAGGUGGAGACAGACUGCUGCCAUCUAGACUUUCAGAAGCCUACUAGGUCCAAAUGUGUGCAUGGUUUGAUAGAAAUUAUCAUACUGAAAUACUUUUGCAGAGCUUUGUUAUGGGCUGGGUAGCAAUACAUAAAAAUGUGCUGAAGUGGGGAGCUGACGACUGCAGUGCCCCAGCAAUUUCAUCAGUUGCUUAAAACAAAAUCCUAGGUGCUACAAGUGGCUAAGUAGUAAGUCACCAUUCUAUGUGAAUUCUUUCACUCCUUUCUGUAUUGCACAAUGGUCCACAAUUCUCUUUCCACAUGAUCCUUUGUGUUGAAAUUUGAAAGACACAGUGGUCCCUGGUGGUCCUUUUCCCCAGGGGUCUGUGUUUGGUCAGCAUUUAGGUCAUUUGACUGUUUUGUAUGUAAUCUGGGAUUGCGUUAUGGCUAUGAGCUGCUAUGAUUUCAUACGGCUUGUUAACUUCUUCCAGAUGAGGUUUGUACCAAGAAAACUACCAUCAUGUUGCUCCAUGCAUGAUGAGCCGCAUGGUCCAAAGCAAGGGGCAUCUGGCAAGGAACCUAGACAUUUACGCUCUAUUCUGAGCU